rnacentral:ribozyme from 1 species
CGCAUUAAAAGCAAGCACAAAUAGUAGAAAUAAGAAAUAUGAGAGUCCCUUUGCAAAGGAAGCGUUCGACCUGGAGAGGAGGUGUGUCCUUUACCUUUACUUUUCUUCUUCUUUUUCUUCUUUUCCCUCCCCUCCUUCAUCUAACUU